CUCCCCGGGGUCUGGCUCCUCGGCUCUUGUAAGUGAACUGAAAGCCAGGGGUCUGUAGACCUUCAAAGGGUAGUUGCUCUCAGCAAAGACCUUUGAUUCCUUGACUAAGAGAUUGGUAGAGGAGCAGUACCUGGAAAAUUCAAGAAGAGCUCCAAAUUUUUGUUGAACACAACAAACAAUAGCCUUUACUUUUGUAACCAGUCUAGC